UAUCGAUUUCCAUGGAGAACAUGAAGUUCACUAACAAAGAAUUAGGUUUGUCCUAUGAUGGCAUAAGGGGUUAUGACAACUUGGGUAGAGAGGAUUUCUAUGGUUAUAAUAAUUGGUAAGGUAAGAUGGAUAUAAAGGUGAUGACCUUGCUUACUAGGAUGAAAAAUGAAACAAUAAGAGGACAAAACCCUUGCCCGAGGUGUUUAACCAGGUGGCCCUAUAAUUUUAAUAACUUGCAAAAAAAACAUGUGGUAGAUUACAAAGACCAAAUUGGGUUGUCACCUCCUACUAGCUACCAUGAAUGAUCCAUGCAACAAACAACAUAAACAUGCAGGAUAUAGUCUAUGGACCACAUCCACACUAUAACCAAGUAAUACUCUAACCUUGGGCCACUAAGUUCCCUUAUGGAAGCUUUUUUGCUAUCGGGGAAUAUAACCCAUUUUUCAUCAAGAGGAGUGAAUUACAUGACACUAAAGUAAAGUGAUGUAUCAAUGAAAACAAGUUAUACAUCACUUACAAGAAUUAGAUAUCAAAUACCAUAAAUAAUAUUAGAUGUUUACUUAUAAGAAGAUUGUUGAAAACCCUAGAUUGAUUUUGGAUAAUUGAUGAAACAUUAGUGUACUAACCUUUGGCUCUAAUUGUAUAUGAGAUAGGUUGGUACACACCAAGGUGUGGAGCAAUGAUGGCACUCAUGGUGAUGACGGUGGCCAGAAGAUGAGAUCAAGUGCUUCAACUUGGAAAAGAAGAAAGAAAAAAAACAAAAAUAGACUCAAGGCAA
rnacentral:lncRNA from 1 species